rnacentral:tRNA from 1 species
CGGGACGUGGCGCAGCCUGGUUAGCGCGCCUGCUUUGGGAGCAGGAAGUCGGCGGUUCGAAUCCGCCCGUCCCGACCA